rnacentral:rRNA from 1 species
AACGAACGCUGGCGGCAGGCUUAACACAUGCAAGUCGAACGCACCUUUCGGGGUGAGUGGCAGACGGGUGAGUAACGCGUGGGAAUCUACCCUUCUCUACGGGACAGCUCCGGGAAACUGGAAUUAAUACCGUAUACGUCCUGAGGGAGAAAGAUUUAUCGGGGAAGGAUGAGCCCGCGUUGGAUUAGCUAGUUGGUGGGGUAAAGGCCUACCAAGGCGACGAUCCAUAGCUGGUCUAAGAGGAUGAUCAGCCACAUUGGGACUGAGACACGGCCCAAACUCCUACGGGAGGCAGCAGUGGGGAAUAUUGGACAAUGGGCGCAAGCCUGAUCCAGCCAUGCCGCGUGAGUGAUGAAGGCCCUGGGGUUGUAAAGCUCUUUCAGUGGGGACGAUAAUGACGGUACCCACAGAAGAAGCCCCGGCUAACUUCGUGCCAGCCGCCGCAGUAA